rnacentral:rRNA from 1 species
GAUGGACGCUGGCGGCGUGCUUAACACAUGCAAGUCGAACGGAAAGGCCAGUGCUUGCACUGGUACUCGAGUGGCGAACGGGUGAGUAACACGUGGGUGAUCUGCCCUGCACUUCGGGAUAAGCCUGGGAAACUGGGUCUAAUACCGGAUAGGACAAUGGUUUGGAUGCCGUUGUGGAAAGUUUUUUCGGUGUGGGAUGAGCUCGCGGCCUAUCAGCUUGUUGGUGGGGUAAUGGCCUACCAAGGCGUCGACGGGUAGCCGGCCUGAGAGGGUGUACGGCCACAUUGGGACUGAGAUACGGCCCAGACUCCUACGGGAGGCAGCAAUGGGGAAUAUUGCACAAUGGGCGCAAGCCUGAUGCAGCGACGCCGCGUGGGGGAUGACGGCCUUCGGGUUGUAAACUCCUUUCGCUAGGGACGAAGCGUAUUUGUGACGGUACCUGGAGAAGAAGCACCGGCUAACUACGUG